UAAUUCAAAAAGAUUUAUAUAGAUACAUAGGGGUCGUCAAGGCCGUUGACAUGUCAUACCUAAAGCUAUACACAUGAUACUGUUUGCAAAACCUCUAAGAAAACAUGAUCAUAAUAUAUAAGUCGGGACAGGGUCCCCGACAUCUUCAUAAAACAAAGUAACAUAUAUAGAACAUGACUCGGCAAUACUCCAGGAAGAUGUGGAGCUCACCAACCAAAAUCUGAUAGAUGGAUGCAGCCUACAGUGGAUGGUCCUCACUUUGCCUAUCUACACCUGCGUGGCAUGAAACACAACGUCCUAGGAAAAGGGACGUCAGUACGAAGAAUGUACCGCGUAUGCAAGACAGAAAUGAAACAUAGUAAUAAUAAGAUACUAUCUCGGGGAGAGAUAAGAGUCAACUUAUAACUUUUGACUUGCCGCUGAGGGCCGUACCAUGUAGAAUAAAACCCAUUCAUAUGUAUAAAUAAAGGUACGAUAUAGUAGUUCUGAUUAUAUCAUUCUCGUGGCGUUAACUGCCCAACUGAUGAAUGGUAACUGCUCGACCGGCCGUAGCUCGGUGGUAAAUGCACUGCCCAACCGGUGGUUAAUAAUAAUACAUAACUGCCCAACUGGUGGUAACUGUCCGACCAGCCGUAGCCCGAUAGUAAAUGCAUGUCUGCCCAACCGGCCGUAACACGAUGGUAAAUAAAUAUGCAUGACUACCCAUCCGGCCGUAGUACGGUGGUAAAUAUGUAACUGCCACUUCAGAAAGGAAAGGCACCGUUCAGUGUUUUCAUGACUUCUUUGUCCGCACAGAUGUUGUUGAGGUGUCAUUUGAGAUAAAAUAAUCCAUGUAAAAUCAUUUGCUUAACCACGAGACAAAACAGGAAAAGAGACAAGAGUUUGGGAAAACCAAAUUCUAAAAUGAUGACUCAAAUUAAUAAAAUUACUUAUUAGUGAAGUCAUUUUUGCAUAGCACUGGUGCUACUAUUGUCCACACAAUCACUGUCCUAACUCCUAACUCAUAAUACAGGAAGUAGUACCAUUAUUUCCAAAGUGAGCAGUUAACAACAAGUUAAUUACCUUUAACUUCUUACGGAUAUAAAUGACUAAAUACAAGGUUUUAACUUUAGAUAAAAGAGGGAAAGGGUGAAAAAAAACAAAAGCGACAAUGACUGAAUGCAUAAUUAGUCAUUACAUUUGCAUAUUGUUGCUUGGAUCAUGCCAAAAGAAAGAAAGAUUAGCCUUAACAUACCUGAGUCGAUUCUCACGUUAAUUAAGUUGCUAGGAAAUCCCGGGUCUUGAAGCGUUGAAGACGCUAUAGAAUGUCAAACAUUUGAAUUCCUCCAAAAUUUUGAAUUCUCACGUUAUCAGAUGAAUGGAAUGGAUAUAUGACCCUUUUUAU
rnacentral:lncRNA from 1 species